rfam:Gossypium arboreum cultivar AKA8401 contig_17266_5, whole genome shotgun sequence.
GGGAUUGUAGUUCAAUUGGUCAGAGCACCGCCGUGUCAAGGCGGAAGCUGCGGGUUCGAGCCCCGUCAGUCCCG